AUUGAACGCUGGCGGCAUGCCUUACACAUGCAAAUCGAACGGUAACGGGCCUUCGGGUGCCGACGAGUGGCGCACGGGUGAGUAAUACAUCGGAACGUGCCCGAUCGUGGGGGAUAACGAGGCGAAAGCUUUGCUAAUACCGCAUACGAUCUACGGAUGAAAGCAGGGGACCGCAAGGCCUUGCGCGGACGGAGCGGCCGAUGGCAGAUUAGGUAGUUGGUGGGAUAAAAGCUUACCAAGCCGACGAUCUGUAGCUGGUCUGAGAGGAUGAUCAGCCACACUGGGACUGAGACACGGCCCAGACUCCUACGGGAGGCAGCAGUGGGGAAUUUUGGACAAUGGGCGCAAGCCUGAUCCAGCCAUGCCGCGUGCAGGAUGAAGGCCUUCGGGUUGUAAACUGAUUUUGUACGGAACGAAAAGCCUUCUUUUAAUACAGGAGGGUCAUGACGGUACCGUAAGAAUAAGCACCGGCUAACUACGU
rnacentral:rRNA from 1 species